AUAUAUAUACCCACAUGUAUUCUUGUACACACACACACACAUACAUAUGUCACAUAUAUGAAUACGUACACGCAUACUUGUUUCUACAAGCAACCACACACAGUCAUGUUUAGCAAGCUUUGUCACUGGUAGUUAAGUGCUAGGUAAUUUGUGGAUGUUUUUUUGUGGAUGUGGCCGUAUUUAUUGGUUUACUUACAAGUGGAACAUCAAGAAGAGUAUAUAUACACAAACAUAUAUAUAUAUAUGUAUAAUCUCACCAGGAGGAAAAAAAUAAUACAGCAAAAACUAAUAUAAGAUACAGUUAAUUAAUCUAUAUAAUUGAAAAUAAAUUAAAGAAAAAACAAACAACAUAGAGAGAAAAGAAAAACGGACAACAAUAACUCUAAAUAACAAUUGACGUUUGUUGUCAUUGUGGAAUCAAUACAAUUGUGAAUUUCAAGCAGGGCUUUACGUAUCCGGAGUUUGUACCAUUUUGGGGGUGGUUAAAAAGACCAGCAGCAGGCUUUUAAAACGUUCGACACAACGUUCUCGUUCUUGCGGAACCAUUCUUAAUUAUCAUUACCACCACCACCACCACCAUCAUCAUCACCAUUAACGUCACUACCACCACCACCACCAACAUCAUCAUCAUCACCAUCAUCAAUAUCAUUAUCAAACCUUUUGCCAGUCAGCUGCUUGCUCCCGCGUGCGUGUUUUUUUUUCUAAUCCCAACACGUUUGGGUUCCAAUAUUGAUGCUGAAUUACAAACAACGAGUCAUGGAAGAUUUAGAUGCCCUUUUGGCUGACCUGCAGUCUACAACCGCGCACAUUUCGUCAUUCCAGCAGCAACAGGCGGAACAGGAACAAUACCAGAAUCGGCGGCCAGACAUAGUGAGUUCACAGUCGUCUCCGCGCACAUCCACCCCAUCACCUCUCCCCUCCCAGCUCACCGACCACAACGACACGUCACAGCUGAGGCGCAAUGACAAAGCUCAUGGGUGUCCCAGUUUGAAACAGCACAUUGUCCAAGAGAACUCCACUCACCAUCACCACCAUCACCACCUUCAUCAUCAUCAACAGCAGCAACAACAACAGCAGCAUCAUCACAGCUACAGCAGCGAAAGGACAUCUAGUAGCAGUAGCAACAGUGGUGCCACCUAUCAUCAGGAGAGAAGCAGUGCUAGUUCAACCCUUUCUCAAUCCAGUCUGCCGGGACUCAGUCCUGUAGGUUACAACAAACCAAUCGGAUCCGGUUCGGUGAGCAGCGGCAGCAACAGCAGUCUUGGUGCCAACGCCAGUUCACAGAUGUCGUCGACAAUCAACAGCAACCUGUCAGAGCUUGACCAGCUCUUGCAGGAUUUGAACUCUGCUCACUUCCUGGAUGAAGUCAAUCGUAGAACCAAUUCUAAUCAAUCUCAGUUUGUUAAUGGAAACUCCCAAAGGGUGGUCACAUCUCCUGGCCAAGUUCCAUCGUCAACUGGGAGCCAACCUGUUCAACCCCCUGUUGCCCCCAAACCAAACCGUGUCGAAACCAACAACAGAGCUAAUGUGGAUGCCAUGUUGCACGAACUGGACCAUGGAGUCCCGCCCCCUCCCGCUGGUGCGUCUGUGGGUGCGCUACCCCCACUCAAUGUUACUCUACCACCACUCACUAAGGCCUAUGGAGAACCGAUCACACCGCCGUUCCCUGUGCCCCCUACGGGACCAGGCAACUUCUAUGAGGAUGCCCUCUAUGAUGACCCACAGGAGUUUAAAUCUUCCGCCAACACCACCGUCGUCACCGGCAGCAGCAGUUCGGCGUCCAGCAGCAACGCUGGCGCGCAGAUGAUGUCAAACAGGGGGCACUCUGUCCCUGAUUCCCAGCGUCGCUUUGUGCAUGAAUCUUCACCAAUACCUGUGAUUGUAAUCUCCGAACCAGCCUCUGUCUCGGAGGAGACUGGCCACCGCCAACCACCGUUGCCGUCGCCACCACUACCUAUGCCACCGUCAUAUUCAGCGUCAGUGGGCGAGGAUCCCUAUGAAGACCCGCGUCAGACUGGGGCCACCACCCAGAUGUCAUCGACGACCUCUUCUAAGACAUCAUGUCAUCGCCCAUCUCCACUGUUACCACACUCCCCCAUUGUGUCAGAUGGAGCUCCGCAUCCUCCUCUCGGCCCAGAGGAGGUUGUGCCACUGAGUUCUCGAACUAUUGACACAUAUGCAGCGGCCAUGUUCCAGAGGCCUCCUCCACCACUACCACCAUCUUCACUUCCUCUUUCUCAACCUUUCCCCGGGUUUCCCCACAUGGAAUCUGCAGUGACGAAGCAAAGCAUGCAGUCCUCCACUUCGGACGGCAACUACAGCAGUUUCCAGUCAUCGGAGACGGUCAAAUCAUCUUCGGUGUCAACCCAUAGCACAUCAGCAGAUGACGCUUGCAGUACGACUGCAUUCACAGGCGGCCUCGUUGACGUCCCAUCUGCCUUUGUGCCUGUCCAUCCUCUCGGACCGGCUCCAGUGAUUUCCGAGCAAAUGGAAUCAAAGAGUUCCCAGAGUUACUCGAAGCUGGAGAGCACCGACUCGAAAUCUGAAGUGAUGCAGAAGAGUGAACAGUCGACGAUGGAGCGGUCAGAGAAAUAUGCCAUGUCUUCAUCGACAUUGCAACAACAACAACAACACCACCAACUGCCGCAGCUUCAACAGCCCCCCUUGAUGAUGAUGAUGAUGAGUAACAAAAUGCAGAGUGAGGGUCAGGGCCAGGGCCAGGGCCAGGGCCUGCCUGUUGCGGACAUGAGCGCUCCGCCGUUCCCUGUCCAGCAGAGCUACGAGACAAAGUCCGAGCAGAGUCACAUCUACAAGAAGAUUGAGCACAGUGACGUGUCCCAGGGUUUUCCCUGCCCACCGCCACCGCCCCUAGCUCCUUCAGCGCAGCCGAUUCCGCUGCAGAUCGGCACUGGUCAAGCGGACAGUUAUUAUCAGCAGCAGCAACAGCAGUAUCAGCAGCAGCAGCAGGACUCCAGCCCUGGUUACCAGGUGUUAUCACCCUUCCAGAGCUCGCAACACUAUGAAUCUAGUGUCUCCGAACAACAACAACAACAACACAACAGCAGCAACAAGAGGUUGUCACCUCUUCCAUGCAGCAACACUCCUCUACAUCUGCUUCGGACAAUUUCCAGAGCCGACAGAUGGCAGGGGUCAACUCAGCCGCUACAACUGUGGGUCAGCACGCACAGAUCGGGGGCCAGGUCUAUGGCCAAAAUGCCACGUAUAUACAGCAGCCUCUCUACCAGGAAACACCAAUGAUGUCCCCGCAAACAGCUUCUACCGCCACUCGAGAGCUGGAUGAGUUAAUGGCUUCACUCUCAGAGUUUAGGGUGUCAAACCGGGACAAUUCUGUGGCCCAGCAGGUUGCCGGUGGUGAUCCAGCAUAUGCUAGACCACAUAAGAUCCGAAAUGAGAGUGCAGGGACAGCAACAUCUGCAGCCACGUCCUCAAUGAGUGCCACCAGUAUG
rnacentral:misc_RNA from 1 species